rnacentral:rRNA from 1 species
UACGAAGGGGGGCUAGCGUUGUUCGGAAUUACUGGGCGUAAAGGGCGCGUAGGCGGUACUUCAAGUCAGGCGUGAAAGCCCCGGGCUCAACCUGGGAACCGCGCUUGAGACUGGAGAACUAGAGUUCGGGAGAGGAUGGUGGAAUUCCCAGUGUAGAGGUGAAAUUCGUAGAUAUUGGGGGAGAACACCGAUGGCGAAGGUAGCCAUCUGGACCGACACUGACGCUGAGGCGCGAAAGCGUGGGGAGCAAAC